rnacentral:rRNA from 1 species
CCAAGGAGUCUAAUUAGGCAUCGAGUCGAUCGGUCUUGAUAGGCCAGAGUGGUUAGUUUCGACUAGCCGAAUGAAGGCGUAGAGAAAUCAAAUCAUGUGAUCGUUUGUGGCUCAAACAAGCCUGGACGCGCAACAUGUGCCUGUUCUCAAGGCAAUGUAUGUUUGAAAUAUAAUAUACUUGCCGAGCGGAGCAAAGAGAUGCUUGAUUGGUACCCGAAAGAUGGUGAACUAUGCCUGGGCAAAUUGAAGCCAGAGGAAACUCUGGUGGAGGAUUGUAGCGAUUCUGACGUGCAAAUCGAUCGUCAGACCUGGGUAUAGGGGCGAAAGACUAAUCGAACCAUC